GAAUUCACUAGUGAUUGAGUUUGAUCAUGGCUCAGAUUGAACGCUGGCGGCAUGCCUUACACAUGCAAGUCGAACGGUAACAGCACUUCGGUGGCUGACGAGUGGCGAACGGGUGAGUAAUACAUCGGAACGUGCCCGAGAGUGGGGGAUAACGCAGCGAAAGCUGUGCUAAUACCGCAUACGAUCUACGGAUGAAAGCAGGGGACCGCAAGGCCUUGCGCUCAUGGAGCGGCCGAUGGCAGAUUAGGUAGUUGGUGGGAUAAAAGCUUACCAAGCCGACGAUCUGUAGCUGGUCUGAGAGGACGACCAGCCACACUGGGACUGAGACACGGCCCAGACUCCUACGGGAGGCAGCAGUGGGGAAUUUUGGACAAUGGGCGAAAGCCUGAUCCAGCCAUGCCGCGUGCAGGAUGAAGGCCUUCGGGUUGUAAACUGCUUUUGUACGGAACGAAAAGGUCUUUUCUAAUAAAGAAGGCUCAUGACGGUACCGUAAGAAUAAGCACCGGCUAACUACGUGCCAGCAGCCGCGGUAAUACGUAGGGGUGCAAGCAUUAAUCGGAA
rnacentral:rRNA from 1 species